rnacentral:misc_RNA from 1 species
GAAAGGUGAUAGGAUGGGCUCCACAAGUGGCUGUCUUGGCUCAUCCAUCCGUCGGAGGAUUUAUUUCACAUUGUGGAUGGAAUUCUAUACUGGAAAGCACAUGGUUUGGUGUCCCAAUUGCCACAUGGCCAAUGAAUGCAGAACAACAGUUUAAUGCAUUUGAAAUGGUGAUAGAGUUGGAAUUAGCAGCAGAAAUUAAAAUCGAUUAUAG